rnacentral:rRNA from 1 species
UACGGAGGGUGCAAGCGUUAUCCGGAUUUAUUGGGUUUAAAGGGUCCGCAGGCGGCUCGUUAAGUCAGCGGUGAAAUCCCUCAGCUCAACUGAGGAACUGCCGUUGAUACUGGCGAUCUUGAGUGCGAGUGAAGUUGGCGGAAUGUGUGGUGUAGCGGUGAAAUGCUUAGAUAUCACACAGAACACCUAUUGCGAAGGCAGCUGACUAACUCGAAACUGACGCUCAGGGACGAAAGUGUGGGGAUCAAACAGG